AAUGAACGCUGGCGGCGUGCCUAACACAUGCAAGUUGAGCGGUAAGGCCCCUUCGGGGGUACACGAGCAGCGAACGGGUGAGUAUCGCGUGGGUAAUCUACCUAGAGGUGGGGGAUAGCCUCGGGAAACCGAGGGUAAUACCGCAUGAGUCCUCGACGGCAUAAGUCGACGAGGGAAAGGCGGGGCUCCUUCGGGACCUGUCGCCUCUGGAUGAGCCCGCGUCCGAUUAGCUAGUUGGUGGGGUAAUGGCCUACCAAGGCAACGAUCGGUAGCCGGCCUGAGAGGGUGAACGGCCACAUUGGGACUGAGACACGGCCCAGACUCCUACGGGAGGCAGCAGUGGGGAAUUUUGGGCAAUGGGGGAAACCCUGACCCAGCGACGCCGCGUGGAGGAUGACGGCCUUCGGGUUGUAAACUCCUGUCAGGUGGGAAGAAGAGCUUGUCGGUUAAUACCCGGCAGGAAUUGACGGUACCACCAAAGGAAGCCCCGGCUAACUCCGUG
rnacentral:rRNA from 1 species